UACUAUUGGUUAAAAAUUUUUAGCAAACUAGGAAUAGAAAGGAACUUCCUCAGCACAGUGAAAGGCAUCUAUGUACUAACAUUACACUUAGUAGUGAAACAAUUUUUUUCUUAAGACUAGAAAUUAAGUGGAAAUGUGUCUGUUGUCACUAUUUCUGUUUGACAUUUUACUGGAGGUUCUUUUUAGUGCACUAAGGCAAAAAGCAAAAACAAAAAAUAAAACAGAGUAGUGAUGGGGGCACAGAAAUUGGAAAGGAAUAAAUAAAACUGUCUCCAUUCAUAGAUAACACAAGGAAAGCUACUAGAAUAAAUUAACAGUUACAGAUACAGGAAUAUAAAUACAAGGAGCCAAUAAUGUUUCUAUAUGCUAGCAACACACAAUGGGAAAAUGAAAUUAAGAGAAAAUACUCUUCCCUGCCCUCAGAACAGGAGGGAAACAGAUAACUAAGUAAAAUUCGGUGUAACAGAUGUUGGCAGUGGUGGGCCAGAGUGCCAGGAGCAAGCAGGGGAGGCCUCCCAGCUCUUCCAUUGGUGGUUGAGAUGGGGCUGGGGUCCAAGGCAGGGGAGGGCGUUGAACCGAGUUGUUGUUUUCUUUUGUGUAACCUGCUGGAUACAGUUUGUGCACAAGGAGCAAAAUUGGCACUGACCACAAGGACUUAGUGCAAUAGAGGUUGUACAAGGGGAAAGGCACAAGGAAAAUAUGCAUUUUGUGGGUAGUUUCCAAAGCCCAAGAAUGUCAUUUACAUAAUUACUCUUUUUUUUUUACCAUAUGCCAAGUUCUUUUUUUUUAAUUUUUUUAUUACUCAAAUGAAUUUAUCACAUCUGUAGUUGUAUAAUGAUCAUAAUUACUCUUAAAUCCUGUGCGUGGCUCCUUGCCGGUUUUUGCUUGAAUGCUCCUGUGUCAGCUCUCUUUAGGGAUUCCAGAAUUAAUCUUUGUUUCCUUUGUUAAUUUGCCUGGCUCCGCCACUGGCUUGCUGUGUGACCUUAGGCAAUGAGAUGCCUUAUCUGAAUUUUGGUUCUUAUCAUAUGUAAAAAGAGUGAAAAACACCUCACACAGCCCAUUAUUGUGCUGAAUAGGCUGGGCCAAAAAUUCGUCAAGCUUUUGCUGUGAUGCUUGCCACACAGUAGGAGCUCAAAGGACACUACUUUUUUUGCUUCUUUACCUUUCACAUAUUUUCAAACAUAACCAUUAAGCUUUAUCAGAAACAAGGUACUUAAACCUCACAGGUCAAGUGAUUGGUGACAUAUCCUUAUACAGUGUUAAAAUUGCAUUUCUGUGAAACCAUGUAUUCAGCUGAACCUCCUUAAACAAAUACAAUCUAUCUUAUAUUAUCAGCAAAUUAAACUUCAACAAUUACACUUGCUACUGUGGUUACCUCUGAGUUCCUCUAAAACUCCUCUGUAUUUUAUUGCUGUGUAAAUAUUUAGAAGACUUUAAAAGGCUAAUUUGAGAUUUGGGCCUUCUCUGUUCAACAGUUUAUAUUUCAAGACCGUUCAUCCAGUACUUGUUCUCUUUUGUGAAACCUGGAGCAGUUCUCACAUUGAUAUUGCUUACAUAUUUUUUUGUAAUGUGCCACAGGUUUAUAAACCUUUCCAUUUAAAUUUUUGAUGUGAUUAGCUGCUUUUAAUUACAUCUGAAAACCUCUUGCCAAAUAAUGAUUAAAACACACAGAAAUGGUACGGUUAAGCAAAGAGAAACAAAUUUAUGUGAAAAAAACUGCUUCAACAGCAAAUCCAUUUGAUGUGUGCAUAUGUGGAGGAUUUCAUUCAAAUUGAAAUAGAACAAAAGAUAAAUGAGGUGAGAAGAGUAGAUAAAAGAACCUUAAGUGUGCACACUGAAAUGCUGUUUUGUUUUUUAAAAUCAGAGCUUAAUUGAUUCUUCUGGGGAAAUUUUUUGAGUAAAAAAACAAAACAUAUAUAAUUGUGGUUCAUAGCGAAUUGCAUUUACUGCCUGUUGAGCAAACUCGAUUGGAUUUUACUAAACCGCAGUGUUUCCCCU
rnacentral:lncRNA from 1 species